rnacentral:lncRNA from 1 species
GCCCUCAUCUGAGGUGACGGGAAAGGGCCGGGAAAUUUCCACUUCUGAAUAAAAUGACUGCUGAAGUGAUGACCCGCAAGAAUUGGUCAAAUUUGGAGUAGACUUCACCCUGCGCUUGGUGAAACUUCUACGUCAAGGAUGCAAGAGGCGCCGAAGUAACGCAGCUCCCACCUGUCGCUCUCCGCUGGGCGCCGAGACUAUGGCCGGAGAAUAGCUGCACCGGGAUUGGAGAAAGGAAGCCAUCAGUCUUAGGAAGGCUCCACCUUCCUGCCAUUGCCUGGUUGGAGGAGCGUAGCGUCAGUCACUAGAGCAGUCACCACCUCUGGGACAGGUGAAGAUGUGUAACCUAUUUGCCGGGGGCUAUUUGGGAGGGAAUAGAGGACGGGGAGCGAUGAGGGGACAGUCGAGGGGCAAGGCCGAUCUCGCUUCGCGCCUCCCGCCUUUCUGAGUUGAGCCUAGCGCGCGGGUCUGAGGGACAUCCGGGGAGCUGCUUGGGAUGGCCGCCUUGGGGAGACUCGACCCGCCCGCCAGGACCCGGCCGCGCGCCGCAGUUCGGGCGCCUUCGGGCAGGAUCGCCCAGCGGGGCCGCGUUCUCCUGCUUGCGGACGGCUGCGGGCCUGAGGGCUGGACAGCGCCAUGCCUCAGUACCGGGAACUGUCCCACGUAGGAAGGUGGGAAUGCCGCGAACGGCGUGCGGAAUCCGACCUCAAGGUGGAACGGGGUGGUGAAGAGUGCAUGCUCCGAGGCAGUUUCGAGUUCUGGUGCUGCCACUUACUUGCUGCCUGACUUCGGCGCGUUUGCUGUUUCAUUUUUGUGACUUUCAACUCGCUCCUCUGUGAAAUGGGAGUAAUAUUAGUACCUUCCUCAUUGGGUUGUUGUUAUGAAUAAAUUAGAUGAUAAUAUAGCGCUUAGCAAAGUCCCAAACUUACAGGAAAGACUCAUUUUUGCUAGUUAUUGUCUCCUCUUCCUUCAGGAACUCUCUGCUCGCCCCUGGGUCCUGCCAGCCCAACUAAUUCUAGUUCUAAUCAGAUCUGUGUGGUGCAAAACAAGGCUAGCUGUGGUGGUCUUCCCUCCUCUAAGGAGAUCUCUUCCUCCCUAUAUGCAUCUCUCUAUCUCUGUCUUUAUCUUGUCAGUAAAGAGGGGGGUUAAAAAUAUUCAGAUUCUAUAGCGGGCGCCGUGGCUCACGCCUGUAAUCCCAACACUAUGGGAUGUUGAGGCGGGCGGAUCAUUUGAACCCAGUAGUUCGAGCCCAGCCUAGGCAACAUGGUGAAAUCCCGUCUUUACCAAAAAUACAAAAAUUGGGCUCGGCGCGGUGACUCACGCCUGUUAAUCCCAGCACUUUGGGAGGCCUAGGUGGGCGGAUCAUUUGAGGUUAGGAGUUCUAGACCAGCCUGGCCAACAUGGCGAAACCCCGUCUAUACUAAAAAUACAAAAAUUAGCCAGAUGUGAUGGUGCGUGCCUGUAAUCCCAGCUACUCGGGAGGCUGAGGCAGGAGAAUCACUUGAACCCAGGAGGCGAAGUUUGCAGUGAGCCAAGAUCGUGCCACUGCACUCCAGGUUAGGCGACAGAGCAACACAUCGUCUCAAAAAAAAAAAAAAAAUUAGCCGAGCAUGGUGGUGCAUGCCUGUAAUUCCAGCUACUCAGGAGGCUGAGGUGGGAGGGAUCCCCUGAGCCUGGGAGAUGGAGGUUGCAGUGAGCCGAGAUCGUGCCACUGAACUCCAGCCUGAGCAACAGAGCGGUGCCCUGUCUAAAAAAAUUAAAAAAAUAAAAAAAAAACGGUUUCUAUCUAAUCCUUUAAUCAGACAUGACCAAAAAAGGAGUCUGGUGGUUUGUAUGGAAAAUAUCCUUUGACCCAGAGAAUGUCCAUAUGAUAACAGAAUUUGGCUGAAAAAAAAAAAAAUGGCCGGGCGCAGUGGCUCACACCUGUAAUCCCAGCACCUUGGGAGGCAGAGGUGAGCGGAUCACGAGGUCAGGAGAUGGAGACCAUCCUGGCCAACAUGGUGAAACCCCGUCUCUACUAAAAAUACAAAAAUUAGCCAAGUGUGGCGGCGCGUGCCUGUAAUCCCAGCUACUCGGGUGGCUGAGGCAAGAGAAUCGCUUGAACCCAGGAGGCGGAGGUUGCAGUGAGCCGAGAUCGCACCACUGCACUGCAGCCUGGCGACAGAGCAAGACUCAGUCUCAAAAAAAAAAAAAAAAAGUCAUUUUCUCCUCUCUUACAACUUUAACAAAGGCCUUUAUAUAUCUCAACUGUGCAAUAUUUAAUAUUUCGUCAUCCUUAAACUGGGAUCUUAAAAUUUUAUAAGAAUAUAAUGAUUUUUAAAAUAACUUUAAAAGUUGAUUCUGCCAAACAUUUAUUUAAAAAACAUUUUGAAUAUCAUAAACAUUUCUUUGGCUUAGUAAUUGCUCAUUUUGACAUUUCACAUGUAAAGGAUAGUGUUUUCUAUGAGCAGAACAUGUUUGUUAAAUGUUCUUUCUAGAUAAUAAAUAAGUUGUAGAAAAUGUUAAAAAAAAGUCUUGUACCUAUUCUAGAGAACUAUUUUAAUGUAAAUGCUAUGUACACUGGCUUUAGUUAGCAUUUGUGGAACUUAAUUAGCCUAUAUCCUCAGUGCUGUUAAGUUUUCAAGGCAUGUGUGACUAAGUCACAACCCAAACUAAUAACACCAACAAAAGAAACCUGGCACUGCCCAACCCACUUCAAAGCUGGAUUAUCCAGAAUUGGUAUGGAUACAUCCUUAGGCAAAAACAGGUAUUGACUGGUACAGCAUUACAAAGGAACUAGUUGUCAUGCUUACUACUGAUACAAAAAUAAUUUCUGAUGCAACUCCCUGAACAAACUCAUUAAAUUCUUUAAACAAAUACAAUGACUCUCAAGGACACAGGGAAAGGAAAUCUGGAUAUAUAUACAUUUUUCUCAAUUUAUUUGAGAGGGAAGAAAACACUCUCUUUACUCAGUGCCUAGCAACUAACCCUGAGUAUAGCUAAAGAAAUGUGAUUGAGCAAUAAUCUUUGUUUCACCAGGACCUUUACUUGAGAUACUUGUCAGUAGUUUGACAGUCAGUAUGGGAAUUAGGAACUCCUAGUCUCCUAUAUUUUGGUGACUGCUAUAUAGAAUCUCUAUUAAAUGUGAUUUAAUGGCUGGGCAUGGUGGCUCACGCCUGUAAUCCCAGUACUUUGGGAGGCCAAGGUGGGUGGAUCACCCGAGGUCAGGAGUUCCAGACCAGCCUGGCCAACAUGAUGAAACCCCGUCUCUACUAAAAAUACAAAAAAUUAGCCAGGCGUGGUGGUGGGCGCCUAUAAUCCCAGCUACUCAGGAGGCUGAGGCGGGAGAAUUGCUUGCACCUGGGAGGCAGAGGUUUCAGUGAGCCAAGAUCACACCACGGCACUUCAGCCUGGGCAACAUGAGUGAAACUUUGUCUCGAAAAAAAAAAAAAAAGAAAGAAAGAAAAUGUGAUUCAAUAGUUCCAUAUAUACUACAUUCCUAUGGUUUUAAAAUUUGAAAACUCAUUGAUAAAUCAUCACAAUAUCAAGUGAUACAUUUGACAAAUAAAUAAAAUCACACUCAGGCCAGGUAUGGUGGCUCAUGCCUGUAAUACCAGCACUUUGGGAGGCUGAGGUGGGUGGAUCACUUGAGGUCAGGAGUUCAAGACCAUCCUGGCCAACAUGGUGAAAUCCUGUCUCUACUAAAAAUACAAAAAUUGGGCUGGGUGUGGGGUCUCAUGCCUGUAAUCCCAGCACUUUGGGAGGCUGAGGCGGGUGGAUCACAAGGUCAGGAGUUCGAGACCAGCCUGAUCAACAUGGCGAAACCCCAUUUCUACUAAAAAUACAAAAAUUAGCUGGGCGUGGUGGCACGCACCUGUAAUCCCAGCUACUCAGGAGGCUGAGUCAGGAGAAUCGCUUGAAUCUGGGAGGCAGAGGUUGCAGUGAGCUGAGAACACGCCAUUGCACUCCAGCCUGGGUGACAGAGCGAGACUCUGUCUCAAGAAAAAAAAUGGAGUGGAGAUUUGCUCAGUGGCAGUAUCAUAGCCAAAGGCAUCAUUAUUGCUAAUUGAAAACUUUUCCCAAUAACCUGCCAUGGCCUUGAAAUAUAGUAAGCAUUGGGAAUUUUGAGUCUCUAUGGAAUAAAGAAGAAAAAAAAGCCAGUGGGACUAUUUAGAAUCUACUUAUAAUGUGUUUCAAAGCACUGUGUUUUGACCAUCUUUCAGAUCAAGAAGGAUAAAAAACACAUGGCCGGGCACGGUGGCUCACACCUGUAAUCCCAGCACUUUGGGAGGCCCAGGCGGGCGGAUCACGAGGUCAGGAGAUUGAGGCCAUCCUGGCUAACACGGUGAAACCUCAUCUCUACUGAAAAUACAAAAAAAAUUAGCUGGGCAUGGUGGUGGGCACCUGUAGUCCCAGCUACUCGGGAGGCUGAGGCAGGAGAAUGGCGUGAACCUGGGAGGCAGAGCUUGCAGUGAGCCGAGAUCUUGACACUGCACUCCAGCCUGGGCGACAGAGCAAGACUCCGUCUCAAAAAAAAAAAAAAAAAAACAUAAAAACUGUAUAGCCGAAGGAUUUUUAUUUUGUUAUUUUGUUUUUUUGAGACAGGUUCUCACCCUGUCUCUGGGGCUGAAGUGCAGUGGUGCAAUCACCUGCUCACUGCAGCCUCAACCUCGCAGGCUCAAGCGAUUCUCCCACCUUAGCUUCCCAAAGCUGGGACCACAGGAGUGGACCACCAUGCCCAGCUAUUUUUUUUUAAUUAUUUGUGGAGACAGCGGUCUCCCUAGGUUGCUCAGGCUGCUGGCCUCUAACCCCUGGGCUCAAGCAGUCCUCCUGCCUCGGCCUCCCAAAGUGCUGAGAUUAUGGGUGUGAGCCACUGUGCCCAGCUAGCCCAAGGGUUUCUAAAACUUCUGAAAUAAUAAGAGUCUUCAAAUCCCAUAAUAUGAGAUUGACAAACUAAAUUAUAGAUGCAGGGACUUUAGCUACAUGAAGUUCUUUCACAUGCAACCUGCAUUUUCUCCGGACAUUUUAUUCCUAUAUGCCAAUCCAUCUCAGUUCAGCCCAUCUAUAUAAGAAGUAAACCAACAUAUUUGUUGCACUUGGAGGUCAUUUAACCUUUAUAAUAAUCCUAUUCAGAUUUUACCCAUUUUAUAGAUGAGGAAGUUGAAACUUCAAAAUUGUUAAAUAACUUGCCCAAGGUUAUAAGGCCAGCAUAUAGAAAAGCUGGGAUUUGAAUUUAUUUCUGCUUGAUCCCAAAACCCAUGCUCUUCCCACUAUAUUACAUCGAUUCCAUGGCAACCUCAAAAGCAGAGGAAAUUCAUCAAUCAGGUAAACAUGCUUCAACCAUUAUAUCCUUCUUAUAAAUCUGCUAAUCAGCACCCUAGGUGAAGUUAUCCCUGACUACCAUCAAAUAUAUCUUCCUCCCUUGUAAUAGUUGGAAACAUUUAAAACUUGGCUUCUGGUUUCUCCAACUAUAUUGUUAGUUUCUUAGACCAUGGAAUUUCACAUUAAAAAAUCUAAUAGUUUACACAAAUUAGCCAGGUGUGGUGGUGGGCCCCUGUAAUCCCAGCUACUCUGGAGGCUGAGGCAGGAGAAUUGCUUGAGCCCAGGAGGCGGAGAUUGCAGUGAGCCGAGAUCGUGCCACUGCACUCCAGCCUGGGCAACAGAGUGAGACUCUGUCUCAAAAAAAAAAAAAAAAAAAAUCUGAUAGUUAAUACAUUCACAUGGUUCAAAUUUCAAAAAGAACAAAACAAUUUGACACAGCAGGCAUGUGGAAAAAAAUAAAAUGGGCCGGGCGCGGUGGCUCAUGCCUGUAAUCCCAGCAUUUUGGGAGGCCGAGGUGGGCGGGUCAUGAGGUCAGGAGAUCGAGACCAUCCUGGCUAACACGGUGAAACCCCGUCUCUACUAAAAAAAAAAAAAAAAAAAAAAAAAAAGAAUAAAAUGAAUAUAAAAUGAGGAAAAGAGUAUUUUUACUUUCCCCACUAAAUACCUAGACCUCCUCUCAUACACAAACCAUAUUAUUAGGUUUUUAGAUAUCCUUCUCAGGCCAGAAGCAGUGACUCACACUUGUAAUCCCAGCAUAUUGGGAGGCCAAAAUAGGAGGAUUGCUUGAGCCCGGAGUUUGAGACCAGCCUGGGCAAAAUAACAAGACCCCCAUCUCUACAAAACUAAAAAUAAAUACAUAAAUUUGGUUCAAUAGGCCACCCACCAUAGUUUUCAAAAAGCACAGUUAUCAAGAUAAAAAUUGUUAAAGGAAGAUUACAGAUUUUUUUUGUUUUAGCUGAAUUGAGUAAAUUGGGUUAGAACAAGGAGAUACUGGAGUGUAGGAAACAAGCAAUCUGGCUGCAGCUUUUUGCCCAGGUAUGAGAUAAUGAACACCGGAUUAGGGAAGUGGCUUUCAGAAUGGAGAAAAAGAAACUGUCAAUAAGUGUAAUCAGCAUGAAGUCCAGGCACAGUUGCUCAUGCCUGUAAUCCCAGCACUUUGGAAGGCCAAGGCAGGAGGAUCACUUGAGCCCAGGAGUUUGAGACCAGCCUGGGCAACAAAACAAGACUCCCUAUCUCUACAAAAAAAAAAAAAAAAAAGGUAGCCAAGCGUGGAGGUGUGUACCUGUAAUCCCAGCUACUUGGGAGGCUGAGGUGGGAGGAUUGCUUGAGCACAGGAGGUCAAGGCUACAGUGAGCUAUGAUCGCACCACUACUCACCAGCCUGGGUGACAGAGUGAGACCUUGUCUCAACAACAACAAAAAAAGAAUCAGUAUAACCUUUGCACCUGAUGAAAUGUGGGAAACAAAAGAGUAUAGGAACAAAAGUUACUCCAGAUCUAUACAAACUUUCUGAAAAUAAAUGUGGCAUUAUGCAUCAAGAUCCUUCUUUAAAAUUUUAUUUCCACCUAUUAGAAUGGCUAAAAUCCAAAUAAGUGGCAAUACCAAUUACUGGCAAGAAGGCAGAGCAGCAAGAAUUCUCAUUCUGGUAAGAAUGCAAAACAGUACAGCCACUUUGGAAGAGAGCUUAAAAGUUUCUUCAAGGCUAAACUUGCCUUAGGCCAGGCGCAGUGGCUCAUACCUGUAAUCCCAGCACUUUUCGAGGCUGAGGUAGGUGGAUCACUUGAGGUCAGGAGUUCAAAACCAGCCUGGCCAACAUGGUGAAACCCCGUCUCUACUACUACUACUACUACUACUACUACUACUACUACUACUACUACUAAUAAUAAUAAUAAUAAUUAUUAUUAUUAUUAUUAUUAUACAAAGCUUAGCCAGGCAUGGUGGUGGGUGCUAUAAUCCCAGCUACUUGGGAGGCUGAGGCAGGAGAAUCGCUUGAACCUGGGAGGCAAGAGACUGCAGUGAGCCGAGAUCACACCACUGCACUGCAGCCUGGGUGACAGAGCGAGACUCCAUCUCAAAAAAAAACAAAACAAACAAAAAAAACCCAAAACAACAACAAAGCUAAACAUGAUGGAUUUACUUUAUGUGUUUGGUUUCAGACAGCAAUGAGAAGAACUUCACCUAGGUAGAACAUUACUUGCUGAGUCAGCCAGAAACCUCCAAACCUUCAACUGGACAGAAACACAGUUAGAUUUACUGUAACUCUGUAACUGAAAACUUUUUUUUUUUUUGACAGGGUCUUGCUCCUGUUACCUAGGUUGGAGUAGUGCAGUGGUGCAGUCUCACUACAGCCUCAACCUCCCAGGCUCAAGCCACCCUCCCACCUCAACCUUCCAAGUAGCUGGAACUACAGGUGCACACCACCAUGCCCAGCUUGUUUUGUUUUGUUUUGUUGUGUUUUUUUGUAUUUUGGUAGAGACAGGGUUUUUGCCAUGUUACCCAGGCUGCUCUCAAACUCCUGGGCUCAAGCGAUCCACCUGCCUCAGUCUCCCAAAGUGCUGGGAUUAUAGAUGUGAGCCACCACACCUGGCCCAAAUUUUUAAAAGACAUCAAGUUGUAGCUUUGCUUUUUGCAAAAGUUAAACAUCUCUCUGCAGAAAGGUCAUAUUGGUUGACAAUGAAGAUUAAUCCACUCUUCCCCCAGGUGAGUCCUUGGUGAAUAUUUUUGUGUAUUGCUUCCAUUGGAAGGAUUGUACUGAAAAUAUGAGUCCCAGCAGUAAUUCUAUGAGCUUUCUCACUUCAGUACUAAUUAAAAGGAAAAGCCGUCCAGCACAGUGGCUUACACCCAUAAUCCCAACACUUUGGGAGGCUGAGACAGGCGGAUCACAAGGUCAGGAGUUCAAGACCAGCCUGGCCAACAUGGAGAAACCCCGUCUCUACUAAAAAUACAAAAAUUAGCCGGGCGUGAUGGCAGGUGCCCAUAGUCCCAGCUAUUCAAGAGGCUGAGGCAGAAGAAUCGCUUGAACCUGGGAGGCAGAGGUUGCAGUGAGCCGAGAUUGCACCAGUGCACUCCAGCCUGAGUGGCAGAGUGAGACUCCAUCUAAAAAAAAAGGAAAAACCAAGAGUCACAUUGAGAAAUAAGUACCAGUAAGUGUGUAGUUCAGCCCAGAUGUUCUGGUCUACAGUUAUACAAGCUCUUUGACAAGAAGAGGGUUCUAAGAACUGACAAUCAAUAAGUUACUGGGAGAAAUCCAGAACUCUACCUUGUGCAUUACAGUGAACCCUCUGCUUCUUCUAUCCCACACUUGGUAAACCUGAAGCUAGUGACCCCAAACAUCCUUUUUCACAUGUCCUCUUACCACUGCAACUUAGGCAGCCACACCCACCUUUUGUAGAAGCUCUCCUUGGCUGGUACCAUGUCCUUCUGCCACAGACUUUAGAACAUCCCAGAAUUGGUGAAAAUUUUGAAUCUUAUGGUCUGAGCACUUUUUCUGAUGAGAGAACAGCUAGAUAGCAACCGCAGCAGCAAGAAUCCUCUUAUUUUACAGGUUAUGGUGGCCUGGCAUUUAGUGAAUCAGCACUUUUGAGUCAGAAGAACCCUUGAGGGGUGUUUUAGUUUUUCACAAUCCCCCCGCCCCGCCUUUUUUUUUUUUUGAGAUGGAGUUUCGCUCUUCUUGCCCAGGCUGGAGUCCAAUGGGAUGAUCUCAACUCACUGCAACCUCCACCUCCCAAGUUCAAGCGAUUCUCCUGCCUCAGCCUCCCAAGUAGCUGGGAUUACAGGCGUGUGUCACCAUGCCCAGCUAAUUUUGUAUUUUUAGUAGAGAUGGGGUUUCACCAUGUUGGCCAGGCUGGUCUUGAACUCCUGACCUCAGGUGAUCCGCCCGCCUCGGCCUCCCAAAGUGCUGGGAUUACAGGUGUGAGCCACCAUGCCCAGCCUUACAAUUUUUUUUAAAUAGAGGAGUAACAAGGAGUGAGCAUUAGGAUCAGUAUCUCCCAAUAAAAUCUCUGAAGUGAUUUUACAUGACCCAUCCAUUACCCUCUGAUAUUUCCUGUGAGAACCUGAAGUACAUAAUUGCUUACCACAAUGAGAAAGGAGCAGACCAAGGACUCCAACUCAAAGAGCAAUUUGGGCUUAUAAGUGAGGACUGAGUCACUCUGAAGGCUGAUCUUGGAGACUCUUGUGGAGUGUUUGAACUCAACUCAGUUUGCCACACCCCUUUUUCAUCAAGACAGUCCCAUAAAUCAGGAGACACAGCAUGGCAUUCACCUGCAGGGCAGGUAACAGUGCCACCUACCAAGUGUUCUUUCCCAAGGAAGUGGCUAUGGCCCCGAAAGGACACUUGUAGAAAGUCUAGGCCAGACAUGAGUCUGAUAUAAGCUCACAGAAGCUAUUAAGAAAUAUAGUGGUCAGGACUCUACUCUGAAGCUUUUCACCUAGAAGCCCUUCUUAGACCCUGGCAUUUACACCUCUGAUGUCAAGGGAAAAAAAAAGAAAAGAAAAACAGCCAAAGUUGGACUUCUCCAGCAGAGAUUUAGUCAAUGCAAAAGGUUCGUCAGUUGAAAAGAAUUGCAUCACCAUUCAGAGUUAUGCAGGACAUAUGGGCAGGCCUGUUGUGGCCUCUGGAGUUUGGUUAAAGCCCUAAACUGUCCCAAUGGCUCCACCCAUAAGCUGGCAACAUUUUAAAUCAAGAUUGAGCCAUACUAGAGAGUCCAAAGAAAACAGCAAUACUUUUCUGUAUACCAGGGAUUUCAAAUGAAUAUUAGAAUUCCUGGAGAGUGACUGAAGGGCUCAGAAAUAUUUAAAAACCCUUCAAAGCACUGGUUGACCACUAUUCAGAGCCUGGUAAUCCUCAUGCCCAACAAUUACUCUCACAAGUUCCCUGUUGCACUCUCUGUAUACCAUUAGCAGUAGUGUAAUUGAUACAAUCUUUAGGGAAAUAAGUUUGGAGGUGCCUUCAUUUUAUUUUUUUGAAACAGAGUCUCUGUCGCCCAGGCUGGAGUACAGUGGUGUGAUCUCAACUCACUGCAACCUCCGUCUUCUGGGUUCAAGCAAUUCUUCUGCCUCAGCCUCCCAAGUAGCUGGGAUUACAGACAUAUGCCACCACACUCGGCUAAUUUUUGUAUUUUUAGUAGAGAUGGGGUUUCACCAUGUUUGCCAGUCUGGCCUGGAAAUUCUGACCUCAAGUGAUCCACCCACCUCAGCCUCCCAAAGUGCUGGGUUUACAGGCGUGAGCCAUGUGCCCGGUCCUUCUUUUUUUUUUUUUUUUUUUUUUUUAAGUGCAACUACCCUUUGAUUUAGCAAAUCCAUUUCCAACUCUGGAGGAAAAGUGGCACAGAAACCCUCACACAUUAACUAAAAAAAAAAAAAAAAAAUGUGUACAGGGACAUUAAUUAAAACCUUACUUGUCAGGGCUAGGCACGGUGGCUCACUCCUAUAAUCCCAGCACUUUGGGAGACUGAGGCAGACGGAUCAUUUGAGGUCAGGAGUUCAAGACCAGCCUGGCCACAUGGUGAAACCCUAUCUCUACUUAAAAAAAAAAAAAAAAAAGCCAGACAGGGUGGCUCACACCUGUAAUCCCAGCACUUUGGGAGGCCAAGAUGGGUGGAUCACUUGAGGUCAGGAGUUUGAGACCAGCCUGACCAACAUGGCGAAACUUCGUCUCUACUAAAAAAUACAAAAAUUAGCCAGGCAUGGUGGCAGAUGCCUGUAAUCCCAGCUACUCGGGAGGCUGAGGCAGGAGAAUCGCUUGAACCUUGGAGCAAAGGUUGCAGUGAGCUGAGAUCACACCGCUGCACUCCAACCUCGGUGACAGAGCGAGACUGUCUCAAAAAAAAAGAAAAAACAUUAGCCAGGGGGUUGGUGCACACCUGUAGUCCCAGCUUCUCAGGAGACUGAGGCACGAGAAUCACUUGAAGCUGGGAAACGGAGGUUGCAGUGUGCAAGAUCAUGCCACUGCACUCCAGCUUGGACAAAAGAGUGAGACUCUGUCUCAAAACAGACAAACCUUACUUGUCUAUCAAUAAGUGGCUAAGUAAGCUGCGGUACAGUUAUAACAUGACCUACAAUAUACUUGUUAAAAAGAAUGAAGAGGCCAGGCACAGUGGCUCACGCCUGUAACCCCAGCACUUUGAGAGGCUGAGGUGGGCAGAUCACGAGGUCAGGAGAUUGAGACCAUCCUGACCAACAUGGUGAAACCCUGUCUCUACUAAAACACAAAAAAUUAGCUGGCCGUGGUGGCUCGCGCCUGUAGUCCCAACUACUUGGAAGGCUGAGGCAGGGGAAUAGCCUGAACCCAGGAGGCGGAGGAUGCAAUGAGCCAAAAUCACGCCACUGCACUCCAGCCUGACGACAGAGCAAGACUCUAUCUCAAAAAAAAAAAAAAAAGAAGAAAAUCAGAAGGCUGAUUGUGCAUGGUACACUGCCAAGUGAGGGAAAAAGUGAAAUUAUUUCAGUUUUUUACUAGAAGUAUAUCAUUUUAUUUGUGCAUAUAUUGUUUGAAUUUGUUUACAAUGAGUAUGUAACACCUUGGUAACAAAACUAUUUUCCAAAACCACCCCAGUUAUUACCUUAAAACCAAACUUUAGAGAGUUAGUAGAUUUUUUUUGUUUUUGAAAAUCUUUAUUGUUAUUAUUAGUGUGUUUAUCCAACAAAUUAAGAAGAAAAAUAAAAUUUAAAAAAGUUAGAAUGUACUUUUUUGGGCAAAAUCUAGGGAGUUACAUUUAACUCAGAGAAAUGUGAACUUAGGGAAGAAAUAUUUCACUUAUACUUUGACAUACACACACAUACACGGGUAUAUUACCACAAUUUUGUUGUUGUUUUUGAGACAAAGUCUUGCUGCGAUGCCCAGGCUGGAGUGUAGUGGCACAAUCUCGGCUCACUGCAACCUCCGAUUCCCAGGUUCAAGCGAUUCUCCUGCCUCAGCCUCCAGAGUAGCUGGGAUUACAGGCAUGCACCACCACACCUGGCUAAUUGUGUGUGUGUGUGUGUGUGUGUGUGUGUGUGUGUGUGUGUGUGUGUGUGUAGUAGAGACGGAGUUUCACCAUAUUGGCCAGGCUGGUCUUGAACUCGCGACCUCAAGUAAUCCACCUGCCUUGGCUUCCCAAAGUGCUGGGAUUACAGGCGUGAGCCACCACACCCGGUGAAUUCUUACCCCCACCUGGCUAGACGGAGUCUCACUUUAUCACCCAGGCUGGAGUGCAGUGGCACGGUCUCAGCUCACUGCAACCUCUGCCUCCCAGGUUCAAGUGAUUCUUGUGCCUCAGCUUCUCAAGUAGCUGGGAUUACAGGCAUGCACUACCACACCCAGCUUUUUAUUUUAUUUUAUUUUAAGAUGGAGUCUCGCUCUGUCACCCAGCCUGGAGUGCAGUGGCUUGAUCUUGGCUCACUGCAACCUCCAUCUCCCAGGUUCAAGCAAUUCUUCUGCCUCAACCUCCCAAGUAGCUGGGACUACAGGAGCCCGCCACCACACCCAGCUAAUUUUGUAUUUUUAGUAGAGACAGGGUUUCACUAUGUUGGCCAGUCUGGUCUUGAGCUUCUGACCUCAGAUGAUCCACCCGCCUUUGCCUCCCAAAGUGCUGGGAUUACAGGGAGGAGCCACCGCGCCUGGCCAUAUUGCCACAAUUCUCAGAGUAUGCUCUAUAGAUUCCUGCAGCCCUCAAGACCUUUUCAGGGGAAUCCAUGAAGUCAAAACUAUUUUCAUUAUAAUUCUAAUAUAUUAUUUUUCACUAUAUUGACUUGCACUGAUGGUACAAAAGCAAUGGGGGGGGGGGCUAAAAAUUUGCUGGUACUGCUGGGUGUGGUGGUGCACGCCUGUAGUCCCUGCUACUCAAGAGGCCAAGGCAGGAGGAUUGCUUGAGCCCAGGAGUUUAAGGCUACAGUGAGCUAUGAUCUCACCACUGCAAUCCAGCCUGGGCAACAGAGUGAGCUCCUGUUUCUAAAAAACAAACAAAGAUAGCUGGUACCUCAGCACAGUAUUAGGUAAUGGUAUCAAACUGUACUAGCAGUAAAUGUAUUCUUCCCCAUUGGGCACUCAAAGCAGGAAAAGGCCGAUUUUAUUAAGAAUCCUUGAUGAAGCAGUAAAAAUUAAUUUUAUUAAAACUUGACCCUUGAGUACAAGUGUUUUUAAUAUUCUAUGUGAGGAAAUGAGAAGGAUACACAGAGCACUUCUGCUAUAUAUCAAAGUACAUUUGUUAUCUCAAGGAGCAUAGCUAUUUUGGUUGCAAGCUGCAUUGGCCUUUUUUGUUUUCAUAGAACACCAUUUUUACUUGAAAAUAGCACUGACAGGCAAAUGUUGGUAAUUCAGAUGUGGAUAUUUGGCAGACAUUCUCUGGAGCCUGUCACUUGAAGGAAAACACCUGACAAUAUUUAUUUCCAAUGAUAAAAUUCAAAACCUUUGAGCAAAAAUGAGAAUUUUGGAAAAUUGUAUAUAUUCCUGGUUGACAGUUUUCUAAAAGCUUUAAAAACUUUUUUGAUGAGAUAAAUCAUGGUAUUAAUAAAUGUGUUUUUUAUAUUAUAUAAUAAAAAUGUGUCAAUAUUUGAAAGAUCUGCACAGUUCAGUGAACCAAUGUUUUCCAAAUGACCAAUCAUGAUGUUACAAAAUCAUACAUGUGUAAAAGAUCCACUGAAAGUAUAUUAGGCCAGGCGCGGUGGCUCAUGCCUGUAAUCCCAACAUUUUGGGAGGCCAAGGCAGGUGGAUCACUUGAGGUCAGGAGUUCGAGACCAGACUGGCCAACAUAGUGAAACCCCGUCUCUAUUAACAAUACAAAAAUUAGCUGGGUAUGGUGGUGAGCACCUGUAGUCCCAGCUACUCGGGAGGCUGAGGUAUGAGAAUCGCUUGAACCCAGGAGGCAGAGGUUACAGUGAGCUGAGAUGGCACCACUGCACUCCAGCCUGGGCAACAGAGCGAGACUCCAUCUAAAAAAAAAAAAAAGAAAGUACAUAAUAGGCCUGUAAUCCCAGCACUUUGGGAGGCUGAGGCAGGAGGAUCGCUUGAGCCCACGAGUUCCAGACCAGCCUGGGCAACAUAGGGACACCCUGUCUCUACAAAUAAUUUUUUUUGAUUAGGGCUGGGCACCGUGGCUCAUGCCUAUAAUCCCAGCACUUUGGGAGGCCAAAGCUGGAGGAUCACUUGAGCUCAGAAGUUCAAGAUCAGCCUAGGCAACAUGGCAAAACCCUGUCUCUACUAAAAAUAUAAAAAAUUAGCUGGGUGUGGUGGCACAUGCCUGUAGUCUGAGGUGGGAGGAUCGCCUGAGCCCAGGAAGUCAAGGCUGAAAUGAGCAGUGAUUGCAGACACUGCACUCCACCCUGGGUAGCUGAGCAAGACCCUGUCUCAAAACAACAACACAGAAUGAAAGUAUGUGAUAGACCAAUGGAUUUUAAUAUAACAGAGUAUGGACAUUUUAUAGUUAUGGUCUCAACCUUUAAGAAACUAACAGUUGUUGGAUUUUGGUGUAUUGAAGGGAAUAUCCAGUUUUCUGAAAAAUCUGUUGAAGUAUUUCUUCCUUUUCCAACUACAUAGCUGUGUUGAGCCAGAUUUUCUUCAUAUUCUUCAACCAAAACACUCAUGGAUUUGACUGAAUACAGAAGCAGAUAUAAGAAUCAAGCUUUUAUAAAGCCAGACAUUGAAGAUGCCACUCUUCUCAUUAAAUUUUUUUGUUUUGAAAAAAAUUUUUUUGGUCAGCUGUGGUGGCUCAUGCUUGUAAUCCCAGCACUUUGGGAAGCCGAGGCAGGCAGAUUCACCUGAGGUCAGGAGUUCGAGACCAGCCUGGUCAACAUGGUGAAACCCCGUCUCUACUAAAAAUACAAAAAUUAGCCAGGCAUGGUGGCGUGCACCUGUAAUCCCAACUACCUGGGAAGCUGAGGCAGGAGAAUUGCUUGAACCCCAGCAGCUGAGGUUGCAGUGAGCCAAGAUUGCAUCAUUGCCCUCCAGCCUGGGCAACAAGAGUGGAAACCCGUCUCAAAAAAAAAGAAAAAGAAAGAAAGAAAAUGGCAGAGGAAGCCGGGCACAGUGGCUCACACCUGUAAUCCCAGCACUUUGGGAGGCUGAGGUGGGCAGAUUACUUGAGCUCAGGAGUUUGAGACCAGCCUGGCCAACAUGGUGAAACUCCAUCUCUACAAAAGAUACAAAACUUAAAUGAGCAUGGUGGCAGGCGCCUAUAGUCCCAGCUACUUGGGAGGUUAAGGUGGGAGGAUCGCUUGAACCCAAGAAGCAGAGGUUGCAGUGAGCUGACAUCCCACCAAUGCACUCCAGCCUGGCUGACACAGCAAGACUGUCUCAAAAAUAGAUAGGGAAAAUAGCAGAGGAUCUAGUGAAGGAACAUGGUCUAGUUUGCAUCACUGCACAUUAUAAUCCCCUUUGUAAGUGGAUAUAUUAAUGGAAGGUGAACAAACAUGUCUCUGAAAACAACCUGGAGAAACCCCCCAAGGCCAUGAUUCUUCCCUUGGGUUCACUUAGCUAGUAGGUUCCUGGAAUUGGUACUGAAAAAUUCCCCAGUUCUUGUCCAGAAGUGGUAAUUCCUUUGGUCUUGGAGGCCCUAGAGGUUUUCAACCUCCCCAUUUUGACCUUGCUGUUAGGUUCUGGCCCUUACCAUUCUUUUUAUUUUUUAACAGCUUUAUUUUUUUUAUCUAUUUUUUUUUAGAGACAGAGUCUUGCUCUGUUGCCCAGGAUGGAGUGCAGUGGUGCAACCAUAACUCACUGCAACCUGAAACUCCUGGACUCAAGCAAUCCUCCUACCUUGGCCUCCCAAAGUGCUGGGAUCACAGACAUGAGCUACUGCACCCCACCUUAAUAGCUUUCUUAAAAUAUAACUCACAUAUCACACAAUUCACUCAAAGUGUUCAAGUCAAUAACUUUUAUUAUAUGCAGAGCUGUGCAAUCAUCACAUCUUUUUUUUUUUUUUUUAACUUUUAGAGAUGAGAUCUUGCUAUGUUGCUCAGGCUGGAGUGCAGUGGCUGUUCACAUACAAGAUCAUAGCACACUGUGGCCUCUAACUCCUGGCCUCAGCCUCCUGAGUAGCAGGAACUACAGGUGUGUGCCACCAUGCCGUGCUUAUCACAUCUAUUUUAGAACAUUUUCUUCACUCCUAAAAAGAAUUCCUGCACCCCAUAGCCAUUAUCCCUAGGCCCCCAGCCCUAGGCAACCACUAGUUCACUUUAUGACUUUAUAGAUUUGCCUAUUAUGGAUAUUUCAUAUAAAUGGAAUAAUAUAUGAUCCUUGUAACUGGCUUCAUUCACUUAGAAUGAUGUUUUUCAAGGUUUAUUCUUCUUGUAGCAUGUGUGGGUGCUGCAUUCCAUUUUAUGGCCAAAUAAUAUUUCACUGUAUGGAUAUAACACAUUUUACUUAUCCAUUCAUCAGUUUGGGUUGGUGACUCUUUUGGGUUAUUUCUACUUUUUGUCUGUCAUAAAUAAUGCGGCUAUGAACAUUUGUGUAUGUCUUUAUGUGGACAUAAGUUUUAAAUUAUCUUGGGUCCCUUAUCAGUUUUAUAUUUGCAAAUAUUUUAUCCCAUUCUGUGGGUUGUCUUUUCACUUUCUAGGCAGUGUCAUUUGGUGCACAGAAGUUUUUUAUUUUGAUGAUGUCCAAUUUGUUUUUUUUUUUCUUUUGUUCCUUGUGCUUUUGGUAUCAUAUCUAAGAAACCAUUGCCAAAUCCAAGGUCAUAAAGAUUUAUACCUAUGUUUUCUUCUAAGAAAUAUUUUAGCUCUUACAUUUAGGUUAUUGAUCCAUUUUGAGUUAAUUUUUACAUACGAUGUGAAGUAGGUGUUCAGCUUCAUUCUUUUGCAUGUGGAUAUCUAGUUUUCUCAGCACCAUGUAUCAAAAAGAUGAUCCUUUCAGUCAGGCACGUUGGCUCAUGCCUGUAAUCCCACACUUUGGGAGGCUGAGGUGGGUGGAUCACCUGAGGUGAGGAGUUCAAGACUAGCCUGGCCAAUAUGGUGAAACCCUGACUCUACUAAAAAUAUAAAAAUUAGCCCGGUGUGGUGGUGCACGCCUGUAGUCCCAGCUACUUGGGAGGCUGAGGUGGGAGGAUUGCUUGAACCUGGGAGGCAGAGGUUGCAGUGAGCCGAGAUCAUGCUACUGCACUCCAGCCUGGGCAACAGAAUGAGACUCCCAUCUCAAAAAAAAAAAAAAAAAAAGAAAGAAAAAGAAAAAGAAAAAAGACUAUUUUUUCACCAUUGAAUUGUCUUGGCAACCUUAUCAAAAAUUAAUUGACCAUAAGUGUGAGGGUUUGUUUCUGGACUAUCAAUUCUACUUAUCUGUAUGUCUAUCCUUAUGACAGUACCACACACUGUCUUGAUUAUUAUAGCUUUGUAGUAAGUUCUGAAAUCAGAAAAUGCGAGUCCUCCAACUUGGUUCUUCAUUUUCAAGAUUGUUUUGGCUAUUCUAGGUUGGCCACUACUAUUCUUACCCCAAGUGGCAAGGCUCCCUUGCCCACACUACUUCUUCCAAGGCAUUAAUUAUGGUGACCUAUAAACCCUAAUCCUCACCCUCUCCAACCUCAUCCUGCAAUAUUCUCUCUCUCACUCCUCCACUCCAGCAAGAUAGUCCUUCUUUCAGUUUCUCAAGCAUUUCAAAGUUUUUCCUGCCUGAUGGCCUUUGAACUCAUGUUUCCUUUGCCAAGAAUGUUUCCCUCCACCCUCCACUUCCUCCUUCCUUUUAUCAAGGCUGACUUUUUUUUUUUUUUUUUCUUGAGACAGAGUCUCACUCUGUUGCCCAGGCUGGAGGACAGUACAACAAUCUAAUCAUGGCUCACUGCAGCCUCAAAUUCCUGCGCUUGAGCAAUCCUUCCAUCUCACCCUCCCUCAUAGCUGGGACUACAGGCAUGUACCACGGCACCCAGCUUAUAUGUGUUUUUCUACUAGAAUGUCUCCAUUCUAGUAGGGGAGACAGAAAAAUACAGGAGAGGAGAGAUCCUGUCUUAGUUAACACUGAAUUCCUACUGCCUGGCAUAUAAUAUAUUUAAUAUGCAUUUGUUGAAUGGAUGAAUGAAUGAAAGACCAAUCCCUGGACAGCCCUUUAGUAGGAUUCAGCACCAGGAAAAGAGGAAAGAGGCAAUGAACUUGGCCCUCAAACCAGGGUUGCUUUCCUUGUACUCACCUUCUCUCAUUUUGUGCCAGUCAGCAAUUCCUCCCUCCUUUCAUUCAAAUAAUUAUCCCAAACUCUCCUCCUAAUGAAUGUCAAUGUACAUUUGAGAAGUAGAUACAGACACAUUCCUGCCUUCCCCAAUCUCUGCUCUGGAUUGCCUUCAGGGAAAAAAAAAAGCCAAAGAUGUCUCUGACAAUAGUUUAUAUGGACAAGUACACCCUCAGAUCCAUUUGCAGAGACAAAAAUGUAGAGUAUUGGGAAGCAUGAGACACCAGACAAGGGUACAGAAGAAUACAGAACUAAGAAGGUAAGAAUUCAGAACCUCAGGGAGAAUCAGAAUCUCAGGCAGAGAGCCUGGGAAUUCACAUCACAACCUUUGAUUCUAAUGCCUGCAAAAGUUUGAGAACCAUUGUCCCACAGCUACAGACUGGAGAGGAAAGGCCUAGGUUACUGAUAUGAAGGGAUUUUCCCUGGGGCUUGGAAGGGAAGAGCUUCCAAGCCCUUGGUAAUUCUGUAUACAGCCCCGAGUCUUUCAUCUAAAGAUCUUAAAGAAUGUUACAGGCAUCAAUUAACCUUUCCAGCACCCUAGACUGAAAAUCCAGGCUCUUGGCCCUAUUUUACUGACAAAAACUCAAACCUAUGGUUUAGAGCCAAGAAAGGAAUAUCUUGGCUCACGUGACCUGAACUGAACAAGCUAAGGGGACUACAGGUACGCAUCACCAUGCCUAGCUUAUUUUUUUAUUAUUUUUGUAGAGAUGGAGUCUCACCCUCUUAUGCAGGCUGGUCUCAAACUCUUGGGUUCAAGCAAUCCUCCCACCUUAGCCUCCCAAAGUGCUGAGACUACAGGCAUGAGUCACUGCUCCUGGCUGACAGUGGUUCUUAAUCUGGGGACUUAAAUUUAUGUGUAUAUGUGUCACUCCUUGACUGUAGGCAGAUGAUACUUUCACUUACUCCUUGUCACUCAAGUCUCAGCUUAAAGGCAAUCCCCUCAGAGAGGUCUUCCCUGAACACCCAUCUUAAGUAAUGUUUUCUAUCAUAUCCUAUUUUAAUUUCUUCAGAGUACUUGUCAUUAUCUGAGAUUAUCUUACCUUUUCUUUGCCCCUCCUUCACUACAAGGUAAACUCCAUGAAAUCAGAAACCUAUCUGACAGUACAUUGUUGAUGUUCAAUAAGUGUUUGUUGAAUGCUUAAAUAAGCAAGUCUAAAUGAAGAUGUUUUCAACAAUAUGUAGAUGCUGUUGAAAUGAGUAAAAUAUACAUUUAUUUUUAAAGUCUAAAUUUAGGGUGGGCACAAUGGCUCAUGCCUGUAAUCCCAUCAGUUUGAAAGGCCAACGUGGGAGGAUUGCUUGAGUUCAGGAGUUUGAGACUAGCCUGGGCAAUAUAGCAAGACACCAUCUCUACAGAUAAUUUUAAAAAUUAACCAGGUGUGGUGGUGUGCACCUGUAGUCCCAGCUGCACUGUAGCCCCUCGGUCCCUGUAGUCCUGUAGCCCCUCAGCCUAGGCAGGCAGAGGCAAGAGGAUUGCUAGAGCCUGUGAGAUCAAGACUGCAGUGAGCUAUGCUUGCACCACUGCACUCCAGUCUGGGCAACAGAGCAAGACCCUGUCUCAAAAAUAAAUUAAAUAAAUAAAAAGAAAAACCCUGAUAUGAUAGUCUAAGUAGCUAUCGAUUGAGAGAAAUACGUGCCCAGAGUAUCACUUGGCUGGGUGCAGUAGCUCAUGCCGUAAUCCCAGCACUUUAGGAGGCCAAGGCGGGGGAUUGCUUGAGCCCAGGAGCUUGAGACCAGUCUGGGCAACAUAGCGAGAACCUAUCUCUAAAAAAAAAAUUAUUGGCUGGGCACGGUGGCUCACGCCUGUAAUCCCAGCACUUUGGGAGGCUGAGGCAGGUGGAUCACCUGAGGUCAGGAGUUGGAGACCAGCCUGGCUAACAUGGAGAAACCCCGUCUCUACUAAAACUACAAACAAAUUAGAUGGGCAUGGUGACAGGUGCCUACAGUCCCAGCUACUCGGGAGGCUGAGGCAGGUUAGUCACUUGAACCCCCAGAGGUGGAGGCUGCAGUAAGCCGAGAUCAUGCCACUGCACUCUAGCCUGGGCAACAAGAGUGAAACUCCAGUACUUUUUUUUUAAGUAUAGUUUAAAUUUAGACUUUAUUUUGAGACAGGAUCUCUCUGUGUCACUCAGGCUGGAGUGCAGUGGUGCAAUCACAGCUCACUAUAGCUUCAAACUCCUGUGCUCAAGUGAUCCUCCCACCUUAGAGCACCCCUUGCCCCAUCCCCACCCCCACCCUGAGUAGCUGGGACGACAGGAUGUGCCACCAUGUCCAGCUAAUUUUUUAUGUUUUUUUUUUUUGUAGAGACAGGGUCUCACUAUGUUGCCCAGGCUGGCCUUGAACUCCUGAGGCCGCAAGCGAUCCUCCCCACUCAGCUACCCAAAAUCCUGGGAUUAUAAGGCAUGAGGCACUGCGUCCAGCCAGGGUUUUUCUUUAUAAUAUUGAAAAAAGGGUUGGUACAAUUUCCAUUUCUGACAUUGUAUGGAUUAUAAUUUCUGAACAAUCUUCCCCAAAAAACAACUAAAAUGAUAGGUUAAAUAUAAUUUUUAACUUUAAAAUUCAUAAUGAGAUAACACAAAAGUAAAGAGUUAGAAUGACCCCAAGACAAAUUAACCAAAAUCAAUUCUCCCUGAAACAUUUUCUUAACUCCCAGUUUUGAUUCCAUAUCACUGGCCACUCCUCAGUCUUCUCCUUUCCUGGUUGCUCCUCUAUCUCUUAACCUUUUAACAGUGAAGAGUUCUAAGACUUGGUCCUUGGAUCUGUUCUCUGAUUGUACUUCCUUGGCAAUCGUAUAUAGUCUGUGUUUUCAAUAUAAUUUGUACUCUAAUAAAAUUAUAAAUUUUAUCUCUGACUCAGAUUUCCUUCUGUACUUCAGAUUUGCAUGUCCAGCUGCCCAUUUGACAUCUUUACUUGAUUG